AUGUAAGAUGAAAUGAUAAUAAACUGUUAGCAUUUAUAAAAAUUUUAUGUUGUAGAUAACUCGUUAAAUGUUCCGCCUGACUACUACGAUCGCAAGAUUAAAAUCAAAAUAUUUGACGGUUCUUAAACCCCAUCCGGAGGAGCAUGUGGUUUAAUUCGAUAACCCGCGAGGAAUCUUACCUGAUUUGGUAUUAGAUAUAAUUUAAUUUAUAAUUUAAUUCAGAUGCUACAUGACUGCCGU
rnacentral:rRNA from 1 species